AACAAAUUGAACAUGUUUAUCCACCUGAGAAUCAAACUCAAUUCGCCAUGGCUUAUUACGUCAUCAACUACUCCAAACUCCGUAUCUGCA